rnacentral:lncRNA from 1 species
UCUUGUCGAAGCUGGUGGAUAGAAUGCUUCUUGCUCUUGACCUAUGAUUCAAGAACCGAAAUAGCCCCACGAGCCAACGCAAGUUCGGCCCUUGAGGAUGCCAAGUCGUCAGUGAGUCUGAAAACCUCCUCCUGAAGUUUGGCUUCUCGCUCCACUGCUGACUUGAGUUGUUCAAGUGCAGCCGCUUUCUCAGCAUUGGUGGCUACCACCUUAUUCUUCCACGCGCUACGAAUGUCGGCAAACUUCGUGUAGCCGAUCUCCAGGUCAGACAUAUCGUGGAUCAACUACAGACAGAGGA